UACGUAGGGACCAAGCGUUGUUCGGAUUUACUGGGCGUAAAGGGCGCGUAGGCGGCGCGGUAAGUCACUUGUGAAAUCUCUGAGCUUAACUCAGAACGGCCAAGUGAUACUGCAGUGCUAGAGUGUGGAAGGGGCAAUCGGAAUUCUUGGUGUAGCGGUGAAAUGCGUAGAUAUCGGGAGGAACACCAGUGGCGAAGACGGCGACCUGGGCCAAUAUUGACGCUGAGGUGCGAAAGCGUGGGGAGCAAACAGG
rnacentral:rRNA from 1 species